rnacentral:rRNA from 1 species
UACGUAGGGUGCAAGCGUUGUCCGGAAUUAUUGGGCGUAAAGAGCUCGUAGGCGGUCUGUCGCGUCGGCUGUGAAAACUCGAGGCUCAACCUCGGGCCUGCAGUGGGUACGGGCAGACUAGAGUGCGGUAGGGGAGAUUGGAAUUCCUGGUGUAGCGGUGGAAUGCGCAGAUAUCAGGAGGAACACCAAUGGCGAAGGCAGAUCUCUGGGCCGUAACUGACGCUGAGGAGCGAAAGCAUGGGGAGCGAACAGG